CUGGCCACACGACAAGUGAAAGAAGCAGCACCGACAGAAAAAACGAAAAGAAAAAAAAACAACCAAGAUCAACUUCUCGAUUGGAUGGUCGUCUGAUGGACGCAAAGAGGGAGAAAGGCAACGAAAAGAUGGAGUUCAGCGAGCCAGGAGGCAAAAAAAUGUUUAAUUUUUUCGCUUUUUCUUUUCUUUUUAUGUUUUUUUUCUCUUAUUUUUUUUUGUCAUUUUAUUUUUAUUUUCAAUGAAUUUGUAUUGGUGAACUCUAUUUUCAGUUUACAGAGAAUAUUAGGACCUGGGGAGGGGAGGAACUGCUGCUCGGCGGCGUGGAUCCUAUAUGCUUUGGUCGGCGCAUGGAUCCUAUAUGCUCGCACAAUGCGCCCACAUAUGUUUCGUAUUUCGAGCAUAUACAACACCGCGCGAUCCCAUAUAACGUUCCUCGCGAUCCACCUGUGGAC
rnacentral:lncRNA from 14 species